AAGAAACAAUUAGAAUACGGAAACGAAGGGUCAUUGGUGUAGGCAUCUGGUUUUAGAAAAUUCACUACUAGUUAGAGAAGUAUACUAAAGACUUCUACUCCUCAAGAAGAUCCGUAAAUCUCUGCCGACGGUACUAGUUUCCUGAAAGUUGGAGCACGUAGCACUAAUCACUCUAAUACAGGUGUAUAACCUGAUAGAGCGCCUGGACUAGGGCGAACGACACACAAGCAUGCUCUGCUGAAGGGAGCUGUUGAUCCACCACAAUCUCACACAAAGUUCUCACCUUUUCCUCCAGCUUCUUCUUCUCCUCACUAAACUGGUUUAGUUUUUGUUUGAGGAACUCAUUGAGCUGUGAAACUUCCUUCUCAGUCGAUGCUAGCUUUUGCUCCAGUUCUUCCUGUUGGGGAUGGGACAGUGACUGCUCUGAAAAUGGAGUCUGAACUGAACUGUUCUCAUGUGGCUAUUGGGAAAAAAGAACAGCAGGGCAAACACAGAAGGCAGAAGAUCAAUGAGGAUGCACUUGCUGGCACAGGCCAUCAAGCAGCCAGGUGAACCAGUAUCUAGACUACCCAUUCCUCAACUGCGCCACACUCUUCUCAAGUUCCUUUGCAACAGUCACCAGGAAAACAGCAUUCUAGUUCAUAAAUCAUAUUUCAUAAGCUGAGAACUCAUCAGAUACCUGCCUUCAGACCACAGGAUACGCAUCAACUCUGGAAGGACACCCUAAAAACUGAUGAUAGCUUAUUCUGUAUGUGUGUGGGAAAGGGAUAGAAAAGGACAAAGGGAGGGAAGCAGUUGAGCACCUUUUACAAACAAGCAUGAACUAUGCAAAUUCACCGUUGUUUCCACACAUUGACUGAAGGUGCUCUCGUGUUAUAAAUAAAGCACACUGUAGUACAGACUGA